rnacentral:rRNA from 1 species
CCUACGGGAGGCAGCAGUAGGGAAUAUUGCUCAAUGGGGGAAACCCUGAAGCAGCAACGCCUCGUGGAGGAUGAAGGUUUUCGGAUUGUAAACUCCUUUUGUUAGAGAAGAUAAUGACGGUAUCUAACGAAUAAGCACCGGCUAACUCCGUUCCAGCAGCCGCGGUAAUACGGAGGGUGCAAGCGUUACUCGGAAUCACUGGGCGUUAAGAGAGCGUAGGCGGGAUAGCAAGUCAGAUGUGAAAUCCUAUGGCUUAACCAUAGAACUGCAUUUGAUACUGUUAUUCUAGAGUAUGGGAGAGGUAGGUGGAAUUCUUGGUGUAGAGGUAAAAUGCGUAGAGAUCAAGAAGAAUACUCAUUGCGAAGGCGACCUGCUAGAACAUAACUGACGCUGAUGCGCGAAAGCGUGGGGAGCAAACAGGAUUAGAUACCCCAGUAGUC